CAACAUGAAGAACUGACUGGGGUGUCCUAGUCAGUCUGAACCUAAAUUUGACUGAAAUCCUGUGGUGUGGUCUUACACACGUUCAUGCAGAAAAACCCUCCAUAUAUAUAUAUAUACACUGUAUUCAGUGAGAAAGUG